UCCAAUGGUGGAGCAAAGGCCACACGGCCUUCUGAGUGUAUGGAAGAUAGUCACUCCACGUGGCGACGUCCUUGGCUCCAGGGGAUGGGAUAUUUAAACUCAUUUUUUUAUUUGUCAUCAUUUUUCCUUCCUUCUCCUGCACACUGAAGCUCCUCUCUUCUCCCUUCUCUCUCGCCAUUAUUCUUACCCGAGCGGCAGAAACCCUAGCACCUUCCGCAAUCUUCCUCUUCCGAAGGAGGAGUUGGUGGAGAGAUCACAGGAGAUGACGCCAAAGCCAUCAUCGAGGAGAGAACUGCAGUCGUCGGAAGCCUCGUCGUCACCCAAGUAGCAGCCUCUCGGAUCUCUCUUUUAUUCUCGUUACCUCUAUAAGCUACUACCCAGAAUGUCCGAAUGUGAUCAACUGAUACUGAAAAUCCACGGAACACGGCAACUGCAAAAACAACUUCACUGCCAGCACACAAUCACUCUCUGGCAUCUCCGACCCAGCUCUUGUUAUGAUUCUUCACACAACACUCACGCAUGGAGAUCGUGUGAUCAGACUUCAUACUAGUUACCGUUCGCGGUGUCGGGGCUUGAUACGCACGUCGGACAUUCAGAGGGUUUGGCCGUCAAGAAAUCGGUAGGGCGGAACGCUAAAUGAUCUGAGCAAAAGCUUCAUAUUCCUCCCUAUGGUUAGAUCGAAAGGAACUUGAGACCAUCCAUUGGGACCACGUCGAACACCGGGUGAUGAUAUUGUGAUUCUUGAAGGAUGAAAUGGCCAUGUGGCAUGCUGGGACUUGCGGGCAUUUUGGAGGUCUCCAGCUCACAGCAUCAAACUGGGGAGUAGGGUAUUUUCAUUUUAUUUUGUAUUUCUUUUUCUGCUGCUACCUGAUUUUGCCCUUUUGUUUCUUUUGUGCGCAGGAGACUAGAGUGGUGCUUCCAGGUGGCAGUGUAGGAGAGAAGGGCAAGGAAUCUUCUUGUUGCAUAUGGAUUUUUAUUUUGCAUUUAUAUUUUUUAUUUCUUUUUGGCUGAUGCAUUCUGUAUGCACCCUGGGAAUUCUCUCCUGCAACCAUUCUUUGUGUACAAUUUUAUUUUCAUUUCCUUGUAUUUUUUUCUAUAUUUUGUAUUUUUAUUUUCUGCAUGCCUGUGUAUGUACCUUACCAAGGGCACCUGCCCCUCCUAAUACAUGAUUUCACAUGCGAUUUUU